rnacentral:RNase_P_RNA from 1 species
CCAGAGGGCCGGGCGGCCGCGUGGAAACACGAGGAAAGUCCGGGCUCCACGGAAAUGACGGUGCCGGGUAACGCCCGGCGGGGGCGACCCCAGGGAAAGUGCCACAGAGAGCAGACGGCCGGGAACUCGCCCGGUCAUGGUGAAAGGGUGCGGUAAGAGCGCACCGCGCGACCGGUAACGGAAGCGGCACGGCAAACCCCACCGGGAGCAAGACCGAAUAGGGGCGGCAUAUGGGCAUCUUUCCGGCCCGUCGCCCGGGUUGGUUGCUUGAGGCGGUGCGCAAGCACCGUCCUAGAGGAAUGGCCGCACAGCGCCCGCAAGGGCGUGGACAGAACCCGGCUUACAGGCCCUCUGGCGAA